rnacentral:rRNA from 1 species
CGCAGCCGCGGUAAUUCCAGCUCCAAUAGCGUAUAUUAAAGUUGUUGCAGUUAAAAAGCUCGUAGUUGAACUUCGGGGUUUACCCAUUGGUCAGGCUUAAUUGUCUGUACUGGUGAGAUAAAUCUCUACCUUCUGAGGAACUUUCAUGCCAUUUAUUUGGUGUAAUUGGAAAUCAGGACUGUUACUUUGAAAAAAUUAGAGUGUUUAAAGCAGGCUAACGUCUGAAUACAUUAGCAUGGAAUAAUGAAAUAGGACGGACUGAUUCUAUUUCGUUGGUUUCUAGGAUCACCGUAAUGAUUAAUAGGGAUAGUUGGGGGCAUUAGUAUUCAAUUGUCAGAGGUGAAAUUCUUGGAUUUAUUGAAGACUAACUACUGCGAAAGCAUUUGCCAAGGAUGUUUUCAUUAAUCAAAGAACGAAAGUUAGGGGAUCGAGACGAUCAGAUACCGUCGUAGUCUUAACCAUAAACUAUGCCGACUAGGGAUCGGACGAAGUUAAUUUUAUAAUGACGCGUUCGGCACCU